GUGGGGAAUUUUGGACAAUGGGCGCAAGCCUGAUCCAGCAAUGCCGCGUGCAGGAAGAAGGCCUUCGGGUUGUAAACUGCUUUUGUACGGAACGAAAAGGCUCUGGCUAAUACCUGGAGCUCAUGACGGUACCGUAAGAAUAAGCACCGGCUAACUACGUGCCAGCAGCCGCGGUAAUACGUAGGGUGCGAGCGUUAAUCGGAAUUACUGGGCGUAAAGCGUGCGCAGGCGGUGCUGUAAGACAGGCGUGAAAUCCCCGGGCUCAACCUGGGAAUUGCGCUUGUGACUGCAGCGCUGGAGUGCGGAAGAGGGGGAUGGAAUUCCGCGUGUAGCAGUGAAAUGCGUAGAUAUGCGGAGGAACACCGAUGGCGAAGGCAAUCCCCUGGGCCUGCACUGACGCUCAUGCACGAAAGCGUGGGGAGCAAACAGGAUUAGAAACCCCAGUAGUCC
rnacentral:rRNA from 1 species